UACGUAGGGGGCAAGCGUUGUCCGGAAUCAUUGGGCGUAAAGCGCGCGUAGGCGGCCCUGUAAGUCCGUUGUGAAAGUCAAAGGCUCAACCUUUGAAAGCCGAUGGAUACUGCAGGGCUAGAGUCCGGAAGAGGCGAGUGGAAUUCCUGGUGUAGCGGUGGAAUGCGCAGAUAUCAGGAGGAACACCAAUAGCGAAGGCAGCUCGCUGGGACGGUACUGACGCUAAGGCGCGAAAGCGUGGGAGCGAACCGG
rnacentral:rRNA from 1 species